AUUGACAAACAUCAUAUGUGUGAUUCACGGCGCAAUUCAAACGGGAUCAAAAAAAUAUUUGUCUCUCACCGUUGACUACCGUUCAUAUUUUUUUCCAAAAUAAGGUCCCAUGGUGGUCCAGCGGAAAGGCCGGGACUUCGCCUCUAUGUGAGCUCUGUGAAGAUAGUGAGUCAUCGGUUUCCGUACCUUGUAAUUUAGAUAUACUUAAUUUGGAGUUCAUUAUGCUUUAUCCCAGAUAGAUAUUGCCAACUAAAAUUGCACAAAAAAGAAUCAGCCAGAUUGUUGCAUAUGUUUAUGUUUCAUCCAUAUAUUCCUUGAGUGCAGCUGAUUUAUCAGCCACACCCAGGCCAGAUAUGCAAAACCUACUUUUACUAUAUAGUCCAUGUUCUGUCACCCAACCCAAGUAGGAACAUAUAUAUGUUAUCAUAAUAGAUUCACCGGAGUUUGUAUAAGUAUUGAGUAUUGAAUAAAGAAGCAAGUGUUCAUUCAUACGUAUUCAGGCCCACAUUAUGUUUUGUGCACCAUCUUUCACAGUAGUAAAACCCUUCUGUCUAACUCGCCAAUAUAUUCUCCACACCUCGCCAAGACCGGCUGCAUGUGCUCUAUGCCCAACAGAUCCGCCAGCUCAAUCUGGCACACAUCUGACCAAAUGUAGCACUGUUUUUCUGUGUUUUUAGUUUUCUGAAACAGCUAUUUUCUAAAAUUCUCCAACCCCAUACAUGCCAUCAAAUGUAGCCUGUAUCAUUCUCUCACUAAGAGUCUACAGCCAUGCUAGCAACUCUGUGAAGCUAUACUUAUACACAGUGGUGCUUUGAGCUAAAUGCUAACGUCAGUUUUAACGUAAAGUCUUACACUGGAGUUCAUUAUAUUUUAGUGACAAAUUCCAGAUAUAUCUCACUCAUUACAUUAUACUAAUCAGUCAGAUUGUUUUAUGUUUUAUCAACAUAUUCCUUGAGUCCAGCCAGGUCUGCUGAUUUAGGCCACACCCAUUCCCACCUGGCUGGAGGGGGCGUGUCUGGGCCUGUGUUUGAUUGACAGCAGCUGGCACUGGCAGGAAAUCAGUGAGGACCUCAACAGCACCAACCAGACUGAAGUGAUAUUUACAGCUGCCAGCAAUCAUGUCACAAGAUUUCACAGACCUGCUUCUUUAAAAUGCCACCAAUUCAUCCCUCGGUGCUUCACCUUCAACACAACAUUCCUGAAGCCGAGGAGUGGAGAUGGAGAGGGUAAUGAGAGAGAAGAAAGGGGAAAGGUGUAGGUGUGGAGGAGAAGAAAGGAGAAGGAGAGGAGGGGAGGAAGACAUGCGUGGGAGUCCUGUGGCAGGUGUUUGAAGACGCUGAAAGCAGAUGAUGAGAGGAAGCUGUCACAUUUCCCCAACGAGGUUCCCCGGCCUUCCUUCCUUCCCCUUCCCUGUCUCAUUUAGUGUGUCCACGCACACCUCCCCACCCAUUCUUCUCCCCCACCGUCCCCCUGCCUCCGCCUGCGGUGUUCAGCCAGAGUGACGCCUCAGCACUGCAGUGUAAUCUCUGGCCCUAGAGCUGCCUCACAUGAGCCAACCAAUUGGACAUAGCGCUCAGAGCAAGAGCAAGGAAUGGCCCUCCCCCGGCUGAUUUUUCUACUAAACAAAGCCCCCUCUCCAUUAGCCACAGAGACCCCCCCUCCUCCUCCUCUGCCUGUGGCGCUCAGCGUGCUCGUUACAAACUACCAGCGAAUACCUGCUAGUGCAGAUUUUCCAGGUGUUGCCCUGAACAUGCAUCACAGACCGGAGGGGGGGGGAGGAAACUGGAGCAUCAUUGAUCAUUACUAUCUGGUUUAUUACAUUAAUCACAUGCAUUGUAUGGUCAAGUAAAACAAAGCAAAAUAUAAUGAAUAAAAGUUCAUUCUUUAGCUUUGGUAACAAUAUAUGCUACUAAAUAUCGACAAAUUAAGAUUGUAAGAUGUGUUUGAAAGCUCUAAAAGCUAGUAAGUGGACCUUCGAGCAUGGAUUAUUCAGCUGCGUAUGUAUGUGUUUUCUCUUCUCG